UCCUAUUUUCAGUCCACAGAAACGAUACCUUCCAGUUGCACACUCCUCCACCCCCUCCGUUAGAAGCUGAAGUGGUACGUCCCACCUCCUCUCUGUCCUCAGAUCCCUGCUGCAUCCUCCAUCAUUGCACUUCCCUUCAUUCCCAGUUUCUCCUUGAGGACGAUUUUGCGGCCUGUCUCAGUGUCACUUAAAGGCCAGCUCUGAGUCUUCUAUCUACUCUGUCGGCACAAGGUCAUCACAAGGUCACAGAGGAGGAAAGGAAGGACAGAAGAAGGACAUCUAAAAACACCCGAGAGACGAAAAAAAUAAAAAUACCCCCAACGCAUUGACCAUCCAUAUGGAGUCAAAGGCUAAGAGCGGCGUGAAACCAGGUACCAAGACUGAGAAGAAAGAAUCGGCACCUCCUACAAAACCGAAUCCCACUCCUGCCGAGCCUGCGCCGCCUGCCGAAGCGGAAAAACCAGUGCAAGAUGGCAACCAAGAGGGAGUGCAGGAAGAGAACGGGGCAGCCGGAGGCAGAUGUGAGACCCUGGAGAACCUAAAGCCAUUCCUCAUUGGUGGAGCUAUUGUAGCACUUGGAGCUGUAUUGGUGGGCUUGGUCUUAUUAGCCAAAAAGAAGUGACAGCCUGGUGUGGUUGGCCAACAGGUUCAUAGGUGAUUGGGUCACAGUGUAACAGUGGGGGGAGGGGGUGGUAUUUAAAUAUCCUUGGGGGAGGGGAGCCACCAUGCUUACUUGCCAUUCAGCUUUGUUUUCAUCACAGUGUAGUGUAGUAGAAAUAGUAGCAAGCUCACUCAGGCCAUGUUCAGAUGUGAAUGCAACCCUCACACAAUCCAGUCAUCUGUAGUUGUAUCCCCACAGACCGAUGAUGUGCCGACAGAAACGCAUGCUCGGCCGCAGUUAAAUUAGUUAAAAGGCAACUAACUUAGCGACUCACGUUACCUAGUUUAAAACGGCAGUGCAUUUUGUUUCGUUUCGUUUUCAUUAAAAUGAGAUUUUUAUUAUUAUAAUAAUCUGUUGCAUCAGAUUUCAUGCCAGUUGUGAAACCUUCCAGGAGUCGCUUGCAGGAGCACAUUCUCACCAGGGAGGGCGUAAGAGGGCCCAAAUCCCAGAGUCCCGAAAAGUUACAUACUAUUACUUUAACCAAGAUUUUAACGGAGAGCAUGAUCAAAACAAGGUUCGAUAAAAUAGCAAUCCUGCAAUGUUCUGUAAAUAUGAAAACUGCGUGUGUGUGUGUGUGAGUGGUUGUGUGUGUGACUAGAGAUAUAAGAUAGAUGCAUUGAUGGAUUACUGCAAACUGAAUAAUUAUACAGUAAUACAGUAUGUUCAAAUGUAUGUCUCUGUAUUCAUGCAAUUAUUAUUAUUAUUAUUAUUAUUAUUAUUAUUAUUAUUAUACACAUUUCUGUAAUACAUGUAAGAGCAUAUUAGGAAAUGAUUGAUCUUUCAGUUCUUAGUUUCAUGUGAAAUUUCAAUGUCUAGCCUUUUCUUUUUUUGGUUGUUUUUCCUUCUCACUGACUGGAUUUCAUCAUUAUUUGAUGCUGGUUACAUUUUCAUGGAUGUGAUGUGUCCUGUCUUUUUUGCUUGAUGACUGAAACCCAUCCGUUUCCUGGUGACCGUAAGGCGUUACAAAAAAGAAAAAAGAAAAGAAAACACACUAAUGGAAACACAUUAGACAGUUUAAUGGCAUGAUGGAGAUGCAGGCAACCUUUUUUAUGCCGAGUAAGACGACUGGACUGAAACGGUCAUCAUUACAAACUACCUUUGUCUGGACAUGUAACCAGUUAUUAAGGACAAAGAUGAUUUUCCGUUCCCUCAAGUGCGUAUGUAAUGCAAUAAAUACAAAUAGCACUCUGUAGAUCAUAACUGAUAGAAUUGUAAAGUAUGACAAAAUGACAAGGAUUAUUGUUUGUAAUGCUGAAUGAACAUGCUGAGACGUUGGAGACUCGUGAGUGGACGGUGGAUAGUAUUAAAGAAUUGUAUAAAAGAUGAAACAGAUAAUAUAUAUAUAUAUAUACUUGUUGAGAAAUCUUAAGUUCUGACAGACAUAUUUUCCCUGGUUGUUCUGCGCUCUCCUGCUCCUCAACCCUCCCCUCUCCCUCUGGUGCUUAUGUACAAUAAAAACAAAAUGGCUGCAA